rnacentral:rRNA from 1 species
GUGGGGAAUAUUGCACAAUGGGCGAAAGCCUGACGGAGCAAUGCCGCGUGGAGGUGGAAGGCCUACGGGUCGUCAACUUCUUUUCUCGGAGAAGAAACAAUGACGGUAUCUGAGGAAUAAGCAUCGGCUAACUCUGUGCCAG